CCCUAGCCCCGAUAGCAGCGGCAUCCUUUUGUCCCGAUUUUUUCGGACAAAAGAUACAGCGAAUAGCGGGAAUAGCU
rnacentral:sRNA from 1 species